rnacentral:rRNA from 1 species
AUACGGAGGAUGCGAGCGUUAUCCGGAUUUAUUGGGUUUAAAGGGUGCGUAGGCUGUGCGUUAAGUCAGGGGUGAAAUGCCGUCGCUCAACGACGGAGCUGCCCUUGAUACUGGCGUGCUGGAGUACGGAUGCCGUUGGAGGAAUGAGUGGUGUAGCGGUGAAAUGCUUAGAUAUCACUCAGAACACCGAUUGCGAAGGCAUCUGACGAAUCCGUCACUGACGCUGAGGCACGAAAGCGUGGGGAUAGAACAGGAUUAGAUACCCUGGUAUUCCACGCCGUAAACGAUGAUGACUAACCGUCGGCGAUAGACAGCCGGUGGCCAAGCGAAAGCGAUAAGUCAUCCACCUGGGGAGUACGACCGCAAGGUUGAAACUCAAAUGAAUUGACGGGG